UACGUGGGGCGCGAGCGUUGUCCGGAAUUAUUGGGCGUAAAGAGCUCGUAGGCGGCUUGUUGCGUCUGCUGUGAAAUCCCGGGGCUUAACCCCGGGCGUGCAGUGGAUACGGGCAGGCUGGAGGCAGGCAGGGGAGAAUGGAAUUCCCGGUGUAGCGGUGAAAUGCGCAGAUAUCGGGAGGAACACCGGUGGCGAAGGCGGUUCUCUGGGCCUGUUCUGACGCUGAGGAGCGAAAGCGUGGGGAGCAAACAGG
rnacentral:rRNA from 1 species